AACUCCUUUCUUUUACCUUUUCAGGAGGUGUCUCAUUCUUCAGGCGACUCAUCACAAACACAAUUUCCGGCUUUCAAGACUUUCCUUGGCGGUCAGGCUAAAUCCAAGAAGGGAAAGGCAGCAAAACCAGUAGAAGACCCGCCAGUACUAGCAUCUGAACCGGCUAGGCCGCCUUCUCCAUUAACUGUUGCCCCAGAAGAUCCUCCUAUUGUUAAUGAAGCAAAUCCUCCGGAGCCGUCCCUUGACAAAGCCAUUAUAAAUCCUUCUAUGGCCGGACCGUCAAGCUCAACCGACCCGCCGUCUCCAUGUGUUCAAGAUGUUCAAAUUACUGGGAGCCUCUUUGUUGAGACGGGGAGUCCAACGGUGCUAGCCCGGUGCACAGCAAAUCAAGAAGCAUUGGAGAUGCAGAAGGUUCGCUUGGAUGUUGCCAAC
rnacentral:rRNA from 1 species